rnacentral:rRNA from 1 species
AAUAGAUACCCAGUAGUCCACGCCCUAAACGAUGUCAACUAGCUGUUGGGGCCUUCGGGCCUUGGUAGCGCAGCUAACGCGUGAAGUUGACCGCCUGGGGAGUACGGUCGCAAGAUUAAAACUCAAAGGAAUUGACGGGGACCCGCACAAGCGGUGGAUGAUGUGGAUUAAUUCGAUGCAACGCGAAAAACCUUACCUACCCUUGACAUGUCUGGAAUGCCGAAGAGAUUUGGCAGUGCUCGCAAGAGAACCGGAACACAGGUGCUGCAUGGCUGUCGUCAGCUCGUGUCGUGAGAUGUUGGGUUAAGUCCCGCAACGAGCGCAACCCUUGUCAUUAGUUGCUACGAAAGGGCACUCUAAUGAGACUGCCGGUGACAAACCGGAGGAAGGUGGGGAUGACGUCAAGUCCUCAUGGCCCUUAUGGGUAGGGCUUCACACGUCAUACAAUGGUCGGGACAGAGGGUCGCCAACCCGGCGAGGGGGAGCCAAUCCCAGAAACCCGAUCGUAGUCCGGAUCGCAGUCUGCAACUCGA